rnacentral:rRNA from 1 species
AUUCCAGCUCCAAUAGCGUAUAUUAAAGUUGUUGCAGUUAAAAAGCUCGUAGUUGGAUCUGGGGUUCGGGUCGGCGGUUUGCCGCUUCGGCGGCUACUGCCGUGCUCGACUCUUACUAGCCGGUGCGUCUUGCGGUGCUCUUCAUCGAGUGCCGUAGGAGCCUGGCAUGUUUACUUUGAAAAAAUUAGAGUGCUCAAAGCAGGCGAUUCCGCCUGAAUAGUGUUGCAUGGAAUAAUGGAAUAGGACCUCGGUUCUAUUUUGUUGGUUUUCGGAACUUGAGGUAAUGAUUAAGAGGGACGGUCGGGGGCAUUCGUAUUUCGGUGUUAGAGGUGAAAUUCUUGGAUCGCUGAAAGACGGACAAAUGCGAAAGCAUCUGCCAAGAACGUCUCCAUUAAUCAAGAACGAAAGUCAGAGGUUCGAAGACGAUCAGACACCGUCCUAGUUCUGACCAUAAACGAUGCCAACUAGCGAUCCGCAGUGGUUGCUAUAAACGGACUCUGCGAGCAGCUUCCGGGAAACCAAAGUGUUUGGGUUCCGGGGGAAGUAUGGUUGCAAAGCUGAAACUUAAAGGAAUUGACGGAAGGGCACCACCAGGAGUGGAGCCUGCGGCUUAAUUUGACCCAACACGGGGAAACUCACCCGGUCCGGACACUGUAAGGAUUGACAGAUCGAGAGCUCUUUCUUGAUCCGGUGGAUGGUGGUGCAUGGCCGUUCUUAGUUGGUGGAGUGAUUUGUCUGGUUAAUUCCGAUAACGAACGAGACUCUAGCCUGCUAACUAGUUGCGCCGUGUUCAUACGCGGCUGUAGACUUCUUAGAGGGACAGGUGGCGUUUAGCCACACGAAAUUGAGCAAUAACAGGUCUGUGGUGCCCUUAGAUGUCCGGGGCCGCACGCGCGCUACACUGAAGGAGUCAGCGUGUUCUAUCCGGGCUCGGAAGAGUUCGGUAACCCGUUGAAACUCCUUCGUGCUUGGGAUUGUGGCUUGUAAUUAUCGCGCAUGAACGAGGAAUUCCCAGUAAGUGCAAGUCAUCAGCUUGCGCUGACUACGUCCCUGCCCUUUGUACACACCGCCCGUCGCUACUACCGAUUGAAUGGUUUAGCAAGGUACUCGGAUUGGUCUCGAUCUUGUACGAAAGUGCGGGAUCUGUGGCCGAGAAGAAGGCCAAACUUGAUCAUUUAGAGGAAGUAAA